AUUGAACGCUGGCGGAAUGCUUUACACAUGCAAGUCGAACGGCAGCACGGGUGCUGCACCUGGUGGCGAGUGGCGAACGGGUGAGUAAUACAUCGGAACGUACCCAGUCGUGGGGGAUAACGUAGCGAAAGUUACGCUAAUACCGCAUACGUCCUGAGGGAGAAAGCGGGGGACCGUAGGGCCUCGCGCGAUUGGAGCGGCCGAUGGCGGAUUAGCUAGUUGGUGGGGUAAAGGCCUACCAAGGCGACGAUCCGUAGCGGGUCUGAGAGGACGGCCCGCCACACUGGAACUGAGACACGGUCCAGACUCCUACGGGAGGCAGCAGUGGGGAAUUUUGGACAAUGGGCGAAAGCCUGAUCCAGCCAUUCCGCGUGAGUGAAGAAGGCCUUCGGGUUGUAAAGCUCUUUCGGCAGGGAAGAAACGGCUUGGGAUAAUACCCCGGGCUAAUGACGGUACCUGAAGAAGAAGCACCGGCUAACUACGUGCCAGCCGCCGCCGUAA
rnacentral:rRNA from 1 species